AAUGAACAGGACCAGUAGGAGCAUGAGAGGAGUAAGAGAAAUAAAUGUUUGUGGAGUUCCAUUUCUCUGUAUUCCGCGGGGUGAAGUAAGAGAAAUAACUGCUUUUGGUGUUCCAUUUCUCUGGAUUCCGCUGCAUGAGGCUUUCUGGCUGUGUUGUUGUAUUCAAUGGUAUUGGAUCCUGUUUUCUUGUACAUUCCUGUGACCAACGAUGGGAAAAAGUGCUUCCAAUUUGACAGAUGGGUGAUGAGUGUGGCUAUUGCUGAACGUUCAGCAUUUGGUAUUUGGUAUUUGACAAAUAGAACUUCAGAAAUACGGGAGAGUAUACAUCGAAAUUAUAGCAAAUCUCUGUUGCCCGUCUUCCUACUUGAUCUCGCCAUCAUUCUUCCACUCCCACAGGUCAUUGUUUGUUCUGUCAACUUUUAAUUUGUUUGUUCCAACUUGCGAAGGAGGGGCACACACGCACACCUCUGACCGCCCAAAGUAAUUUAUGUUGGAUUCCUAGCAAGCAUGUAUAGGUUGUAUUUUGUACGGUUAAUAUAUAUAUUUUUUUUAAUAUCUACAAACUAUUCAGGUGUUGGUGCUUCUAGCUUAUAGUCAAAGAAUUAGUGGCCAGGAAUUUUUCUCUCUGAUGAACCUGUUUCUUGUACAACAUGGGUUAAAGGUUAUCCGAUUGGCUAAAUUGAUUACAGAAUGGAAGAAUUCAUAUAACCUUAAUAAAUGGGCCAAUCUGACGUUCAAUUUCGGUUACCUACAUGCUGCUAAUGUAAGUUUACUUGCCUCUCAACUCUCCAAAAUGUUCUAUUUCUCUUUACUGUUUUUUUGGGUAAUUUAUAGUUCCCGGGAUCUACUUGAUGGUUCUUUAGGUGUUUGGAUCAUUAUGGUACUUUUUCGCCGUACAAAGAAAGGCUGAAUGUUGGAAGAAAGCCUGCACAGAUUUUACCAGAUGUGGCCUCCUUCCUUUACACUGUGAUGACAGUUUAACAAACUACACAUUUUCUAGUGAUUUUUGCUCUACAAAGACUCAAAAUGCAACUAUCUAUGAUUUUGGGAUAUUCCGUGAUGCUAUUCAAUCUGGUGUUUUGGAUCAAAACAAUUUUUUUCGGAGGUACUUGCCUUGUUUUCAAUGGAGCCUGCAAACUCUCAGGUUAAGUUGUGAAUAUACAUCAUUCUUCUUGUAACAAUCUUUUUGUGUACGCCUUUCUUUGUUUUUUGUGCAUAUAUUAAAGCAUACGUAUUUUUGUGUUUUUUAUCAAUUAAACUCAAAACAUUGGUUCUAACACAUUUGUGGGUUUGACUUUUGCAGUUGUUUUGGUCAAGGUCUCCCGUUAAGUACCAAUGUCUUGGAAAACAUCUUUGUAAUUUCAAUUACCAUCACUGGGGUAGUGUUGUUUUUCUUUUUGAUUGGAAAGGUUCAGGUUGGUGUACCUUAUGUUUUCAUUUUUUUUCUUUUAAUCAUCUGCAUCUUGUCUCUCAAAAUUGGUUUUUAUGAUUGAUUAAGAGGAAGCGCAAUAAAUUUUACUUUUCUAUGAACCAUGAUUCUUGGGCAAUGUGCAGUCUGAAACGUCAAAAGUAUAUGAGAUAAGACAGAAGGUACGAGAAAUAGACCGGUGGCUGCCCUUUGGAAAGCUCCCUAAGAAACUCCAAAAGGAGAUCAAGGAAGAUCAGACGUCGAAAUUGCAAACCACGGGUGUUGACGUAGAGUAUAUGGUGAAUCAUCUUCCAAGGCACCUCAGAAAGAACAUAAAACAGAAGCUCUGCUUAGACUUGCUAAAAAAAGUGAGUGAGAAAUCUUUACAACUAUAUUUGUGUCUGCUAUUCGUUAAUUUGUGAAAUUGACAAAGGAGAACUAAUAAAAAUAUUUUGCAUAGUUUUGAAAGCGCAAUCGCUAAAGUCCACAUCACCUCAACGUGAACUCAAACCUGAUAUGUUUUAGUGUUAGGGAAUGAAUCUCAUUUCAGCUGAGAUAGUUCUAGAUCACAUUUUAUUUUCAAUUUUCUUCAUUCAGAAGCUGAAUUUCAUUAUCAGCAUCAUGCCUUUUAGAUUAUAGUAACGAUAUUGGAUGUAUGUUUGUAUAGGUAGAAGAGUUUGGAAACUGGAGUCAUUCAUCGUUGGAGACACUGUGUGAUGUUGUGAAGCCAGUCGUCUUCACAGAGCGCUCUUACGUUCUCCGGGAGGGAAACCCAAUUGAUCAAAUGCUCUUCGUGCUGCAAGGCAAGUUAUGGACCUACACUUCCAGGAGCAUAACUGGAUUCUCAAGCAAUUCUGGUAACCUGAACAACCAUCUGGAAGAUGGUGACUUUUCUGGAGAAGAACUCAUUGCUUGGGCAAAGGCUGACCGCGACUCAUCCAACCUCCCUAUAUCAACUAAAACAAUUCAAGCUCUUACAAAUGUUGAAGCAUUUGUUCUUAUGGCAGAUGAUUUAAAGCAGGUACUAUUGAAUAUUGAUCAUUAAGCAAAACAUUGCACUGGAUGUAUACAUGUAUUCUGACAAACUAGAUGGAGUGCACAAGCGUCCGCACAAGGAACGCCACCAUCCAACCUCCCUAUAUCAACUAAAACAAUUCAAGCUCUUACAAAUGUUGAAGCAUUUGUUCUUAUGGCAGAUGAUUUAAAGCAGGUACUAUUGAAUAUUGAUCAUUAAGCAAAACAUUGCACUGGAUGUAUACAUGUAUUCUGACAAACUAGAUGGAGUGCACAAGCGUCCGCACAAGGAACGCCACCAUCGCCAUCUACAAUAAUAUUUGGGCGUUCAGAUCUGGUACAGCAACGUUAGUAUUUUAGGCCUUGUUCAUGAUCUUAAUUAAGGACCUAUCUCAAUAAUAAAUUUGGACGAAAGUAUUUGAGUUUGAGAUAUUAGAAACCGAAGCCUGAUACAGUUGAUGUGUAUAUAUAUGAAGUUAGCAAAACUCCUUUAUAGUGUUUGAUUAUAUAUAGUGUUUGAAAUUAAAUUUAAGGAUUAGUCUUUAACAAAUGAGAUUUCUUAUCUCCAUUUAAGGAUUAGUCUUUAACAAAUGAGAUUUCUUAUCUCCAUUUAAAACCUUUAUUAGUAUAAUACAAUUUCAAAAAAAAUUUAAAUAACAAUAUAUGACCCUUGAUUUAUUUUUUACACAAAAUUUCAGUGUUUGAACUAGCAGAAAGUAAGUUCAAUUUGUGAACUAGAGAUGAGCACUGAACUUUUCAUAAUUUUAACACUCAAAUGGGAUAUUUUUAUAAAUUCUAAGGAAGAAAGGUCAGUGGUCAUCAAAAAGUUUCUAAAACCACCUGGGACACAGGCCCCAACUGUUCCUACCAUUGCUCAAAUUUGUAAUAGGCAUCGUGACAUUGUUCACAAGUUUGGAUUUGGAUCCUUAACAAGUUCAUAUUUCUAAGGCUUAUAUUUAUCUUGAGCAAAAAGCACAAAGAUCCAAUUCUACUAGUGAGCAAAAAGCACAAAGGGACGUGAUAGAGUUGCAGCCUCUUGGGGCCAAAAUUUUGGUUAAUGAACCGUAGAUUGAGAUUAUGCAUAUGGAUAAGUUCUAACCUCAAGUCGUAGCUAUUAGUUGCCUCCGGCCCCAGCUCAAUCAACAGGUGCUACAGAAAUUACAUAAUUAUUGAAUUUUUUUUUUUUUUGGUUGUUUGAUUGAUUGUGUAAGAAGUCAAUGUCUUGAGGAACCACAGUGCGUAGAUAUUUAUUAGCGCAUAGGAUAAGCAUGCUCUGAACUCCGAAGACUCAGCCACUGAAGUGAUGAUUUGUGAAGGAUCCACCUGUAUUUAAUUGAAGGAAACUGAAAUUAAGCUUCGCUUCAUUUACUUAAAUUUUCCUUCCCCUUGGUUGAUUAUGUAAGCCUUAAGCGAGUUGUUUAUUAAUUUGACGAUAUACGUAUAGAGCCUUACUGAGCUGAGGUACAGGCCAUAUGUUAUUACAAUUAUUGUAUAUGGUGAUGACGAUGAAGUUGAUUUUAUUUUUUCAGGUCUCAGCACUCGAAUUUAGAGGAAGGAACGCCGAGACUGGUUGCUGGUGUUGAAAUGGACAGCAUCAGUAGGAGCGAGAGAGAAGCAACAGUAUCUGCUUUUCGAACUGUGAUCGAAAGCUUGGGUAAUGGAGAAAAAACAUCUCUUCGGCAGAUUCGUAAUCUGCCGAGACGUUUCCUGGAUGCUACGAGACGUUACCCGGAUGCUAAUUUUUGGCUGAUUUAUGUGUAUUCCAUAAUAUUUGAUCCUGUUUUCUUGUACCUUCCCGUGAUCAACGAUGGCAAAAAGUGCUUCCAAUUUGACAUAGCCCUUAUGAUUUUGGUUAUUGUUGAACGUACAGCAUAUGAUAUAUUGUUUUUGAUGAAAAAAGCUUUACGAAUAGGGGAGAAUGUACAUCGAAAUUUUAGCAAAUCUCGGUUGGCCGUCUUCCUAUUUGAUCUCGCCUUCAUUUUUCCACUCCCACAGGUAAAUGUUUGUUCUGUCGUACUUUUUACUUAUUUGUUCCAACUAGCCAAGCAAGGGCACACGCGCAUACCUAUGGGCGCCCAAAAGUAAUUUAUGUUGGAUUCCUAGCAAGCACGCAUAGGUUGUAAUUUGUACGAUUAAUUUCCAUUUUUUUUUUUCCUUUUCAUAUGGAAUCAUAUUUCAUAAUUGAUAAUUCUAUCUUUAUGGUGUACAAACUGUUCAGGUGUUGGUGCUUCUAGUUUAUAAUCGACUAAUGAAUGUCCAGCAAUUUUUCCAUGUGAUGAACCUGUUUAUCGUCCAACAUUUGCUAAAGGUUAAGCGAUUGUAUGCAUUGAUUAAAAAAAGGAAGAAUUCAUAUAAGCAUACUAAAUGGGCCAGACUUACGUUCAAUCUCUUUUACCUACAUGCUGCUAAUGUAAGUUUACUUGCCUCCCAAGUCUCCAAUAUAUUCUAUUUCUCUUUACUCUUUUUUGGGUAAUUUAUAAUUCCUGAUGAUCUACUUGAUGGUUGUUUAGGGGUUUGGAGCAUUAUGGUACUUUUUUGCUCUACAAAGAAAGACCGAAUGUUGGAGGAAAGCCUGCACAGGUUCUACCAAAUGCCGUCUCCUUCCUUUGCACUGUGACAACAGUUUAACAAACUACACAUUUUCUAAUGAUUUUUGCUCUACAAAGACUCAAAAUGCAACUAUCUAUGAUUUUGGGAUAUACGUUGAUGCUAUUAAUUCUGGUGUUAUGGAGCAAAACAGUUUAUCUCUGAGGUUCUUGCUUUGUAUUCGAUGGAGCCUGCAAAAUCUCAGGUUAAGUUGUGGAUAUACAUCAUUCUCCUUGUAACAAUCUUUGUGCAUAUGCCUUUCUAUGUUUUUUGGGCAUAAAAUUACGCAUACGUAUUUUUAUGUUUUUUUAGCAAUUAAACUCAAAAACAUUGGUUCUAAAUUUCUAAUAAAUUUGUGGGUUUGACUUUUGCAGUUCUUUUGGUCAAGGUCUCCCAUUCAGUACUAAUGUCUUGGAAAACUUCUUUGUGAUUUCAAUUACCAUCACUGGAGUAGUGCUGUUUUUCUUCUUGAUUGGAAAGGUCCAGGUUGGUGUAUCUUUAUUUUAUGUUAUUUUAUUUUUUUCUCGUCUGAUUCUUGUCUCUUAAAAUUGGUUCUUUAUGCUUGAUUGAGAUGAAGCGCAAUAAAUUUUAAUUUUCCAUAAACCAUUAUUCUCGCGCAAUGUGCAGUAUGAAAUGUCAAAAGCAGAGGAGAUAAGACAGAAGGUACAAGAAAUACACCAGUGGCCGCCCUUUGGAAAGCUCCCUAAGGAACUCCAAAAGAAGGUCAGGAGACAUGCGGCAUCCAAAUUGCGAGGAACCACAGGGGUUGAUGUAGAAAUGGUGAAUAAUCUUCCAGAGGACCUCAGAAAGAGCAUAAAACAAAACCUCUGCUUAGACCUGCUAAAAAAUGUGAGUAAGAAAUCUUUACAACUAUAUUUGUCCCUCCUACUUCUGAAUUUGUGGAACUGACAAAGAAGAGGCUGGCAACAUAUAAACAGCAAUCCGAAAAACUAAUGAAAAUAUUUUCCUCUUCUUUAACUCAAUCGAAUAAACUCAAGGGUAAAUGUUUGUAACUAUUUGAACUUCUGCAUGGUUUUGAAAGCGCAAUAGCUAAGGUUCACAUCACCUCAAUGGAAACUCAAGCCUGACAUGUGUUUAGUGAUGGGGAAUGAAUCUCAUUUUAGCUGAGAUAGUUCUAGAUCAAUUUUUAUUCUCUUCAUUCAGAAGCUGAAUUUCAUUAUCAGCAUCGAGCCUUCUAGAUUAUAGUAAUGAUAUUGGAUGUAUGUUUGUUUAGGCAGAAGAGUUUGGAAAGCAGGAUGUUUCAUCGUUGAAGAAACUGUGUGAUGUUGUGAAGCCAGUUGUCUUCACAGCGCGCUCUUACAUUCUCCAGGAGGGAAACCCAAUUGAUCAAAUGCUCUUCGUGCUGCAAGGCAAGUUAUGGACCUACACUUCCAGGAGCAUAGCUGGAUCCUCAAGCAAUUCUGGUAACCUGAACAACCAUCUGGAAGAUGGUGACUCUGCUGGAGAAGAACUCAUUGCUUGGGCGAAGGCUGACCGCGACUCAUCCAACCUCCCUCUAUCAACUAAAACAAUUCAAGCUCUUACAAAUGUUGAAGCAUUUGUUCUAAUGGCAGAUGAUUUGAAGCAGUUGCUUUUGAAUAUUGAUCAUUAAGCAAAACAAUGCAGCUCGCUGCAUACAAGUAUUCCGACAAACUAGAAAGAAUGCACAAGCGUCCGCACAAUGAACGCCACCAUCGCCAUCUACAAUAAUAUUUUGGGCAUUCAGAUCUGGUGCAGCAACGUUAGUAUUUUAGGCCUUGUUCAUGAUCUUAAUUAAGGACCUAUCUCAAGAAUAAAUUUGGACGAGAGUAUUUUGAGUUUGAGAUAUUAGAAACCGAUGCCUGAUACGGUUGAUGUGUAUAUAUAAAGCUAUCAAAACUCCUCUACAGUGUUGAUUAUAUAUAUAUAUAUUUAUGCUAAUUUCAAGUUCGGAUUGCAGUAUGGAGCAAAGUUUUCAUGUUUCAACCGACGAUUCAUUUUGUUCCAUUUUAAAAUCACACUAAUUUGCAUAUAAUGCGUCCCUGAUUUUAAUAUUUAUUCCAUAUUAUAAUGGUUUUUGAGGAUGAGAGAGUCCGUGCCCUCGUUGAAAAUUUCAUUAAUCGACCCAUUGCUGAGAUGGCCAUUGGCAAAACUACUGUAAUAAAAGAAAAUCUAACUUCACCCAUAAUCAUAUGACUUUCAUCUAGUUUAAAAGUAAGCUAUUAAAAUAAGUGGUCAUCUGUUAUAUACAAAGUGCUUUACCCGUGUAAACUCCUUGUAUGAGCAUAUUGAACUUAUAACUUCUGAGAUUAGUGCCCGACAGAUACCUUCGAAUUCAAUUUUUUUGCAGUUCUUUUGGUCAAGGUCUCCAAACAAGUGCCAAUCCAUGGGAAAACAUCUUUGCAGUUUGCAUUAGUGUAUCUAGCAUGUGGCUACUUGUUAUUUUUGUUGGACAAAUCCUGGUUCAUCAUUUUUUUUUUUUUAUCUCCAAGAUAGUUUUAUCUGCUGCUUAAGAUGAAGCGCAGUGACUUUUAAUUUCUAUGGACUCUAGUCUUUUUGAAACAGACUUAUUCACAGUCAGUCUGAACUUGUAAGACCAGUGGGGAUGACACAGAAGGGGACAGAGUUAGGGCAGUGGCUGCCCUAUAGAAAGCUUUCUCUAAAACUUCAACAGCCGAUUCAGUACCUGCUAUACCAAUUGCAAGAAACCAUUGGUUUUGAUAUAGAAAGUUUGAUCAAUCGUCUUCCAAAGGACCUUGGAAGGGAGAUAAAAUAUGAACUCUGCUUAGAACUCCUCAAGAAAGUGGGUUUUAAUUUUAUUAUUGCUGUUAUUAUCCAAUAGAACUGCUCUGCUUUGUACAUCAUUGUGAGUUCUAUUCAAUACCACAUUAUAAUUGCUUGAGAUGGUACGUCUGUAUUCUCAUUGUUGUUCUUGUAUGUAAUCAAGAUGGGAAAAUUUGGAAAGUGGAAGAGAGCAUUGCUGGAGGAUCUGUGUGAUUUUGUUCAGCCAGUUACCUACAUGGGGCACGCUUACAUUGUCCAUGAAGGAGACCCAAUUGAUAAGGCACUUUUGGUGGUGCAAGGUAAGCUACGGAUCUACAACUCCGGAAAUGUAACAAAAGCCUCCCCAGGCACUAAUAAUUAUCUUAAAGAUGGCGACAUUUGUGGAGAAGAACUUGUCGCUUGGGUUCAGGAUGCUUGCACUACAAUUGACCAUUUUUCAUCUGACCUCCCUACCUCAACAGGAACCAUUCAAGCACUUACAAAAGUUGAAGCCUUUGUUCUCACAGCCGAUGAUUUAUUACUCUUUGAGCAGAAACGAGUAGCUCCAUUCAUUAAAGCAGCUCGAUUUUUAAAAUUAUUCCAGGACAUUGUAAAAAGAAUUUUCUCAUUUUCUGGUAGCCAUGGACAGAUCGAUACUCAGGUGUAAGGGCAAACCAACAAUGCUUCAGCCUGCCAUCUCAACCAGAGCUAUUCAAGCAUAAAGUUGAAGCCUUUUGUCUAUGGCUGAUGACUUGAAAAAUGUGUCACUCAUUAAGCCUAGUCGGGCAGCUCUAUUCAUCCAAGCAACUUGAUUCAUAAAAUUGCUCAUGGGCGCUGUGAAAGGAACUUAAUUUCUCUCAUUCUACAAGGAAUGCAGAAACGUCUAGACAGAGCGCCCCACAAUUACGUGUGCAUUUGAGGCAGCUGCGCUGCAAUAUCCUCCUAGAAUAUAGGCAGCUGCUCCCUGUUAAGGAAGCAGAGUAGUCAGUGGAGCAGAGGAUUGCAACACCUGCAGCUUGCUGUUACAGGUUGAUGACAUGGCUUGCCAGCUGGAGCCUGGUGGUUAUAUAGUCUCUUGCACACGUGAAGAUUAGUAGGUUUGUUAUAGUAUUUCUUGUGCUUGUAAUUCAGUUUUAAUUAGUUAUAACCAGCUGAUUAGCACUUGCAAUUAGUUGAGAAUUAGUUCUAAUUACUACUGAUGUAUAUAAACAGAAGUAUGUACAGAUUCAGUCAAUUAAUGACUUGAGAUAAUAAAAACGAAGAAAGAGUUUUAGAAUUCUCUUAUUUUCCCUUAAGUUUUUUCUGUUUCCAAACAUCAUUGAAUUCUUACUUGGUAUCAGAGCCAGCCAAUAAUGGCGUCUGUUAAUCUUGCUUCUUCUUCCUCAAUUUAAACUCUUAAUCAUGCUACAAAUUCAACAACUGUUUCCUUUACCUUUAACACACCAGUCAAGCUUGAUCAGUCCAAUUAUCUCAUAUGGCGAUCUCAAGUCCUAGCCUCAAUUCGUGGAAACAGGCUCGAAAAGUUUAUUGAUAAUGCAGUCACUCCACCUCCAUCUCAUAUAGCUCAGAGAGUUGAUGAUAAACUCAGAUCUGUAAAGAAUCCAGAAUUCACAACAUGGAGAUCUCAAGAUCAAGUGAUGCUUGGAUGGCUGCUCUCUUCAAUGAGUGAAGGAAUCAUUAGUCUAGUGUUCAACCUGGAAACAUCACUUGAAGUGUGGAAAACUAUUAAGGUACAAUUUGGCUCGCAGUCUAAAUCCAGACUUUUACAUCUAAGAUACAUGAUGAAUUCAACAAGGAAAGAUAUGAUGAAUUCAACAAAAAAAGAUGAUAUGAAAAUCACAGACUAUUUUAUUAAGAUGAAAAACAUAGCUGAUAAUAUGGCUGCAGCAGGAAGUGCUUUAAGUAGUGAUAAUCUGAUUUUACAUGUAUUAUCUAGCCUAGGACCAGAUUAUAAUUCAGUAGCUACUUACAUUACUGGUCAAGUAGGAGUUGGUAAAAUGAAUGUAAAUGAAGCCUAUGCUAUGUUGUUAACUCAAGAGGCUAGGAUUGAACAACAAUCACAAAUGCUUGCUGGUGUGGAUAUGAAAAACAAUUUUUGAGGCAAAUUAUGCUCAAAAUAGAGGAGUUAAGAAGGGAAACAUAUCAGGUGGAAGAGGUUUUGGUGGUUAUGGCUAUAACUCUGGGUUUGGAAAUGGUGGUUAUUACAAAGGAAACUUUGGCACUGAAUCUACUAGUGGUGGUACUGGUUUUAAUAGUCAGUUCAAAGGUUAUCAAUCUGGUAAUCAAAUAGGAGGAGGAGGAGGAAACUAGAACAAUAACACUGGAGUUAACAAUUUUAACAAUGGGAAACCACCUAUGAACUCUAAACCUCAGUGGAAUACUUCAAAACCUACCUGCUAAAUCUGCCUCAAGCCUGGACAUACUGCAAACAUUUGUUGGAAGCUGGAAGAAUUCAUUGCUUUAGGCUCUUACAGAUCACCUCCAAAUAGAGGACCAAAGGCUGCCUAUUUAGCCAACAUGGAUGCUCCAGCUGAUACUAAUUAGUAUCUUGACAGUGGUGCUACACACCACCUCACUAAUGAUAUGAGCAAUAUGAAUAUGGCUGAACCUUUUACAGGUACUUCUAAACUUGUCAUUGGUAAUGGUGUUGGUUUAUUCAUAACACAUACAGGUUCUGCUGUUUUGAGAAUGAAAAGCUCUAUAAAUCAUGUUGAUCUUAAGCUAAACAAUAUUCUUCUUGUGCCUAAAAUAACCAAAAACCUGAUAUGUAUAUCAAAACUAACCAGAGAUAAUGAUGUUGUGGUAGAAUUUACUAAUGAUUUCUGUUUUGUUAAGGACAAGGUGAGGAAUUUGAUCAUGCUGCAGGGCAAAGCUGAAAAAGGAUUGUACAGAUUGCUAUUUGUCUCCUCAAAUAAAACCUCUCCUUAUCUGUCAAACCAAGGUCUUUUUGCUCAUGUUCAGUCAGAUGUCUCAACUCAACCUAUUUCCAUGUUUUCUGUUGUUGAUUCUAAAUGUCAAAAUAAAAUUGCUUCUCAGUUACAAACUGAAGCACAAUGUAGUCAAAACUCAGAUUGUAUGUUGAGUACUAUGGUUUUACACCAAAGAUUAGGUCAUCCCAAUGCUAGAGUGUUGAAUCAUGUUAUCAAUUCUUGUCCAUCUUUUAAAACCAUCGAUGGUAAUAAAGGUUUUGAUUCUUGUGAUGCUUGUAAGUUGGGAAAAAUGCACAAACUUCAUUUUCCAGUAACUGAAACCAAAACAAAAAAUGCACUUGAAAUCUUACAUACAGAUCUAUGGGGGCCUGCUCUUACACUUUCUAUACAAGGAUAUAAAUAUUAUAUCAGCUUUGUAGAUGAUUACACAAGAUUCACCUGGAUCUUUCCUUUAAAAACCAAAGUUGAAGCAUUUCCAGUGUUCAAAGUUUUCAAAGCUCAAGUAGAGAAACAAUUAGAUAAACCUAUCAAGUGUCUUCAAUCUGAUUGGGGUGGUGAGUAUAGAUCACUUGUUCAUUUUCUUUAAACAGAGGGGAUUCAGUUUAGACACUCCUAUCCAUAUACUCACAAUCAAAAUGGACUUGUGGAAAGAAAACAUAGACACAUCACUGAGUUGGGUUUAACCUUGCUUGCACAAGCCAAGUUACCUAUAAAAUUUUGGUGGGAUUCUUUUCAUACAGCUACCCACAUUAUAAACAAACUUCCAACUCCUGUUCUUUCCUUGAAAACCCCUUAUGAAUAUCUAUUCCAUCAAAAACCAGACUAUCCAUUUCUCAAAACUUUUGGUUGUGCUUGUUUUCCUUUCUUAAGAGAUUGCAAUCAUCACAAGUUUCACUUCCAUACUUCUAAAUGUGUUUUCUUAGGAUACAGCCCUUUACACAAAGGCUACAAGUGUCUUCAUCCAUCAGGAAGAAUUUACAUAGCUAGUCAUGUUUUUUUUUAUGAAACUUCCUUUCCAUAUUCUACUGAUUCUACCUUCUUACAGUCUAUGCCAUCUAAAUCUUCUGACUUCCUUUAUAAUUCCUUACAAGUAUAUCACAUCUCAGUUCCUAAUAGCAAUCAGAAUCCUUUAGCAGCUGCUCCUGCAGAUACAGAUUCUCAUGCCUCCAGUUCUACUCACAACAUCAUCUCUCUUCCUAUUCCUACAUCACAAGUAAUUUCCACCUCACUGAUUUCACCAAAUAAUACUAUAUCUUCACCCAUUGUCCACACAACAUCACCAGCUGCUACCAUAAACAUUAUACCAAACACUACAACUUCACCUGCAAUACUACAAAAUUCACCUUCCAGAUCACUUCCCUCAGCUACAACCAUAAACACUCAUUCUAUGAUUACUAGAGCUAAAGCUGGCAUAUUCAAACCAAAGGCCUUCUUGACAGAUCAUAACAGCCUAGAACCUUCCAAUGCUGGAGAAGUCUUAUCUGAUACUAAGUGGAAGGCAGCAAUGCAAGAUGAAUAUAAUGCUCUCAUUAGAAACAAAACCUGGAGCUUAGUACCAAUGAAUCCCGAAUACAAGUUAGUAGGCUGCAAGUGGGUUUUUAGAACUAAAUACAAUACUGAUGGUUCAGUCUCUAAGUACAAAGCUCGCUUAGUUGCAAAAGGGUUUCACCAAACUGCUGGGAUAGAUUACUCAGAAACUUUUAGUCCUGUAGUGAAAUCUUCUACUGUCAGGGUUAUUCUUAGCUUGGCAGUCAUGCAAGGCUAGAAUGUUAGACAAAUUGAUGCCAAUAACGCAUUUCUUAAUGGGGAUCUCAUUGAGGAUGUGUACAUGCAACAGCCAGAGGGUUUUGUUUCAGAGGGAGGAUACAUCUGUAAACUAAACAAAGCUCUUUAUGACUUAAAACAAGCUCCAAGAGCCUGGUAUGAUAAGUUUAAGGGAUGUCUUACAAGUUGGAAAUUCACUAAUUCUAAGGCUGAUACUUCUCUGUUUAUUAGGCAUGAUGUCAAAGGCAUAAUUCUUGUCUUAAUAUAUGUGGAUGACAUUCUGAUCACUGGACCAGAUUCAGACUUGCUGGAAUCUUUUAUUGCUAAGCUCAGCAAAGUUUUUGCAUUAAAAGACUUGGGUCUAGUAACAUAUUUCCUUGGUGUAGAAGUCAGCUAUACAGAUCAUGGAAUGCACUUCCCUCAGACCAAGUACAUCAAGGAUCUGCUGUCCAAAGCCUCAAUGCAAGACUACAAAGGAACUGACACUCCUUUCAGCACAGGCUACAAGUUGGAAAGGUCAACAAAAGGCUUAUUGGGUGCUGAAUUUGAGAAUCCAACCCUCUAUAGAAGCAUUGUUGGAGGUUUGCAAUACUUAAUCUUAACCACACCAGACAUUGCAUAUUUAGUGCAUAAGCUUAGUCAGUACCUCAGUGCUCCUACACUUCAACACUGGUUAGCUUGUAAAAAAGUGCUCAGAUACCUUCAAGCUACUGUCACAUAUGGUCUCUAUAUUUAGCAGGAGGGAACUCUGGAAACUAUAGGACUAACAGGAUAUUCAGAUGCUGAUUGGGCAUGUGAUAUUGAUGCCAAAAAAUCCAUUGGAGCAUAUUGCAUUUUCCUUGGUAAUAAUUUGGUUUCCUGGUCUUCAAAAAAGCAAGCCAUUGUAGCAAAAUCUAGUACUGAGAGUGAAUACAGAGCCUUGUCAGCAGCCAGCUCUAAACUUUCUUGGCUGCAAUCAUUAUUCUCUGAGCUCAACAUCACAAAAUUACCAACUUCUGUUCUAUGGUGUGAUAACCAGAGUGCUGGAGAUCUACCUAGAAAUCUAGUUUUUCACUCAAAAUCAAAACACAUAGAGCUAGACAUUCAUUAUAUUAGAGACAAGGUUCUUAACAAAGAAUUGGAAGUGAGGUACAUUCCCACUAAAGAGCAAGUUGCAGAUGUUCUUACUAAGCCCCUGUCAUUUCCUAAGUUUAGUUAUUUUCGUUCCAAGCUCAAUGUGUUCAACAGACCCUUGAGCUUGAGAGGGGAUGUUAAGGAAGCUCACAUGAGCAGAGUAGUCAGUGGAGCAGAGGAUUGCAACACCUGCAGCUUGCUGUUACAGGUUGAUGACAUGGCUUGCCAGCUGGAGCCUGGUGGUUAUAUAGUCUCUUGCACACAUGAAGAUUAGUAGAGUUUGUUAUAGUAUUUAUUGUGCUUGUAAUUCAGUUUUAAUUAGUUAUAACCAGCUGAUUAGCACUUGCAAUUAGUUGAGAAUCAGUUCUAAUUACUACUGAUGUAUAUAAACAGAAGUAUGUACAGAUUCAGUCAAUUAAUGACUUGAGAUAAUAAAAACGAAGAAAGAGUUUUAGAAUUCUCUUAUUUUCCCUUAAGUUUUUUCUGUUUCCAAACAUCAUUGAAUUCUUACUCUCCCCCAAACAUACCCUAUGUCUAGGCAGCUUGUGGAACCUCAUUUUAUUGCUAAAGAAAAAUAGGCUGGUCACACCCUAUGCUUGUUAUAAUAAGCUUAUUGUCAUUGAUUUUUAUUUUAAAUACAAAUUACAUCUCGUUUCUAAGCUAUUGAAUAAAUCUCGUGAAAGUAGUUUGUACACUGACUAUUGUUGUUACAUAUAUUUGGAAAUUUAGAGAACUAUUGAUGGCUUUAUGGUCCCUGCGUUUUGCUUUCCGCUGCAAGAAUUUAAGGCCAGUAUGAUGCAUAAAAGAGAAAGUUUUAAGUAGAAAUGGGGCAGAUUAUUAUAUAUUUUCAAGAUUUUUUCCCCUCCAAUUUCGGUGAGUUUAAUUAACCAAGGUUGAUUCACACAACGGAGAGGGGAAAAAAAAAAUAGGGUUCAAGUUUUAUCAAUUUUCAUCCACAACAUGGGUCCCUUUGAAAAACGGUCAGUGGUGUUGGAUCACCGAUCAUUUAGUCCAAAGUAAACCAUUCAAAGAAAAAUUUGUCUAUUGUCUGUCGACAGUAUCGUCCCGUUAUUGCACACUUCUUUUUGUCCUGAGCUAGCUCUUGAUUGAAUAGUUAGAUCUGAACUAACAUUUUUUUUUUUCGUGGCUGACUAAAGAAGACAAAGACUCUUAUCAAAUUGCCCGUAGUGGAAAAAUUUUAGGUAGCGCGGUACAAAAAUUUAGUAAGAUAGGAUUAGAUGGGGCCAUAGAUAACACAGCACAAAUGUCACACGUAAGACUGCAAAAUCCAAGUCUUUCAAAAGUAAAUUUGGCUGUGGGUAUUUGUGAUUAAUCCUUGAACCGAAAAAUUAGAAAUUGCUCUAAAAAUUGUAGAGCUAGAAAAAAGUAGAAAUUAGUGCAGAACACUCUAUAUUAAAUAAUUUAAUAGAAGAAAGAUUAGAAAAUACAAAAUUUCUAGUAGAUUGCACAUCUCCAUUAGACCCUAUAAUAAUAAUUAAAAAAAGUAAGUGUUAGAUAUUACACUCUUACGUACUUAUCUAUAGUAAAACAUAAUUACAAUAGGCAACUAAAUUUAUUAGAUCAUAUGAAAAUGUAAUUUUAAAAAUUAGAAAUAAACUAGAAUAGUUAAAGAAUUAGUUUAUGAAUUUUCAAAAACUAGCAUAUUUGGAUUUACAAAUUAGUAGUCAUAGGAAAAUAAAAUUAAACUUAAUCAUAAUAUAGAGCAUUUAGAAAAUCAAUAUAAACAUAUUCCAUAUACGAGUAAUGGUCAACAAUAGACUUAAUAAUUAAUCUUGGACAGCACUUAGAAGUUAAACUAGAAAAGCUUAAAGAACUAGUAUUACGGUUAGGACAAUUUUUUGAAGCAAGUAACAUAAAAUACACAAAGAAAGAAUUUAGACUAUAUUAAAGAGUCAUUAGCUGAUUUUAAUAGUCAAAUUACAAGGUUCGGUAAUAAAAAAGAAAUAAUAGAAUUAAUAAAAUUAUUAGACAUAAAAGCACCUAAACUAGUAGAAUUAUAAAUCAAAAGUCUUGUAAAAGUUUUAAAAGUUGAAAUAAAAAUAUUAAAAAUACACAAAGAGAUUUACAAAUACAAUUAAAUUCAAUAAAAUUAAUAGUAAAUGAAUGAGUUUAGAUAAACCGUUAAUAGAGUUCCACAAACAUUUAUCUGUAGUAAAAAAGUAGGAUAUAAUUUUAUUUUAGGAUUAAAUUUUAUAUUAGAAGAUAACAGUAGUAUAUUAACAACUACUAAUGAGAUAAAUUUCUUUAAAAAAUCAACAUUUGUACAACCUAAAUUUGAGAUGCAUAUUUUGCCUUACGAAAAGAAAUCACUAGCAAUGGAAAAAGAAGUAGAUAUUGCAUUUUUUGACUCACUAUCGGAGGAAGAAAAUGCAGUAGAUAGCAAGAUAGAAAGCACUAAGAAUUACAUAAUUAAGUUACACAGAGAUUUAAUAAUUAUAGAAAAAUAGGUAAUCCAUAAUUAGAAGAUAUAGAAAUAAAUAUGCCUAUAGUAAAAAAUUUAAAUACAGAUAAAGAGAAAACUCUACAUAAUAUUAGAGAUAAGAUUAUAGAAUUAAUAUUUAAUAAUCCUAAAAAAUGUUUAGAUGAAGAAUUAUUUGAAGAAUUAUGUAAUAAUGAGGAAUUAACAUAUGAUGAUGUAGAUUAAAAAAAUUCCUAUUUCUUUAAGUUUUUGUAUUAAUUUAAUAUCUUCACUAUAAAAUUUAAAAUACUUUUGUCCAUUUUUACUUAAUUUAUUAUAUAAUGGUCUCAUUAAUGUACUAAGAUUUUGGUAUAAAUUUCUUAUUGUAAUUUAACAAUCCUAAGAAAUUUAAUAUGCCAUAGAAUAUUUGAUUGGCUACUGAAAUAAAAUUUUUUUUACAAUGUCUAUACUAUCACCAAUGAGGGAAGAAAUUUUUUGAAUUUUUAUUAAUUGUCCUACUGGGGAAUGGUUAAAUAUUUUUUCUAGUGCUUGCUUUUGUUGAAGUGUUUUGAGUUUUCUGGUGAUAACUGAUAAGUAAUAAAAUCUGACAUUGAUUUUGCAGUACUAUAUUUUGUCUAAAUAAUUCAUUAUUAGUACUUUCUAAUGCAAUUAACUUUUGUCUACAUUCUUUAAUGGCUUUCAAUGAUCAUUCAAGGUCUCUGUACUUUUCACUCCAUUCUUUUUAUGCCGCUAAUUUAAAAAAAUGCAAGCAAAGAUUCAUUUUCACUUUUGUACAUUAGCUACACAGUAUAAAGAACAAUUGAAAAAAGAAUCUGGAAUUUUCUUGCACUUUACUUUCCCCGUUUUUCAUGCUUGAGCUACAGAGCUAGCCCGAAAAUAUUAUAAGCGGACCCCAAACAAUAAUUAUGUGUUCCUGGUUGACUUGAAAAAUCGAAGUCUUUGGGUCGUGCCUCUGAUAUUUAUUAACACAUAACAUAAGCAUCCACCGAAGACUGAGCCACUGAAGUGCUGAUUCGUGAAGGAUCCACCUGUAUUUAAUUGAAGGAAACUGAAUUUAAGCUUUGCUUCAUUUACUUUAAUUUUCCUUCGUAAGUGACUUGUUUAUUAAUUUGAUGAUAUACUUAUAGAGUCCUACUGAACUUAUGAUCAGGCUAUAUAUUAUUACAAUUAUUGUAUACGGUGACCAUGAUGAAGAUGAUUUUUUUUUUUCCAAGGUCUCAGGACUUGAAUGAAUUUAGAGGAAGGAACGUCGAGACUGGUUUCUGGCGUUGAAAUGAACAGGACCAGUAGGAUCAUGAGAGGAGUAAGAGAAAUAAAUGUUUGUCCAUUUCUGCGUAUUCCGCAGGGUGAAGUAAGAGAAAUAACUGUUUUUGGAGUUCCAUUUCUCUAUAUUCCGCUGCAUGAGGCUUUCUGGCUGUGUUGUUUGUAUUCAAUGGUAUUGGAUCCUGUUUUCUUGUACAUUCCUGUGACCAACGAUGAGAAAAAGUGCUUCCAAUUUGACAGAUGGGUGAUGAGUGUGGUUAUUGCUG
rnacentral:lncRNA from 1 species